rnacentral:rRNA from 1 species
CCUACGGGGGGCAGCAGUGAGGAAUAUUGGUCAAUGGGCUUACGCCUGAACCAGCCAAGUCGCGUGAGGGAAGACUGCCCUAUGGGUUGUAAACCUCUUUUGUCAGGGAGCAACGCCGGCUACGUGUAGCCGGACUGAGAGUACCCGAAGAAAAAGCAUCGGCUAACUCCGUGCCAGCAGCCGCGGUAAUACGGAGGAUCCGAGCGUUAUCCGGAUUCAUUGGGUUUAAAGGGUGCGUAGGUUGUUUUAUAAGUUAGCGGUGAAAUACCGAUGCUCAACAUCGGGGCUGCCGCUAAUACUGUAGG